GUUCGAUAGGCCAAUCAUUCAUGAUUAUGUUUCCAUUAAGUUUUAAUUGAUUGCAUGCGAUGGUAGCGUAGCGAUCGGCAAAGCAUUAGGUGUUAGAUUUAGAAACAGCUG